GACGAACGCUGGCGGCGUGCCUAAUACAUGCAAGUAGAACGCUGAAGGAGGAGCUUGCUUCUCUGGAUGAGUUGCGAACGGGUGAGUAACGCGUAGGUAACCUGCCUGGUAGCGGGGGAUAACUAUUGGAAACGAUAGCUAAUACCGCAUAAGAGUAGAUGUUGCAUGACAUUUGCUUAAAAGGUGCAAUUGCAUCACUACCAGAUGGACCUGCGUUGUAUUAGCUAGUUGGUGGGGUAACGGCUUACCAAGGCGACGAAACAUAGCCGACCUGGGAGGGGGAUCCGCCCCCCUGGGACCGGGACACGGGCCAGAAUCCUUCGGGAAGCAGGAGUAGGGAAUCCUCGGGAAUGGACGGAAGUCUGGACGAGCAAAGCCGCGUGAGUGAAGAAGGGUCUCGGAUCGUAAAGCUCUGUUGUAAGAGAAGAACGAGUGUGAGAGUGGAAAGUUCACACUGUGACGGUAUCUUACCAGAAAGGGACGGCUAACUACGUG
rnacentral:rRNA from 1 species